AUGAAUCUAAUUAGUUGGAACUGUCGGAGAGGGGGGGAUACCUGCACAGUUCGAGAAAUAGCGACUAUCUCGCAAUCGCAUUCCCCCACGUUUGUAUUUCUUUGCGAGACAAGACAGACAGCAAAUAAAAUGAGGAGAAUAAGAAGCAGGCUUGGCUUGAAGGGGUUUGAAGGGGUGGAUAGUAAUGGGAUGAGUGGGGGGCUUACUCUAUAUUGGCAUGAGAAUUGCGAUGUCAGCAUAUUGGACAAGGACGAUCGUUAUAUUGAUGCUCUAGUAAAAGUUAACUCUGAUGUGGUGUAA
rnacentral:rRNA from 1 species